CUAUUUGAGAAAUGUGAUCGGAGGGCUGUCACCGGAUCAAUUUGCAUCAUUUCUCGAGCCCCUCUUUCGGAAAGUGGUUAGGGAGGAAGUGGAACGUGCAAUCCCGUGCUUUCAUGAUCCGUCGUUAAGAGCACCAUCUAAUCCUGUUGGGACUUCUGAAGAAAGCAGUCUUCGACUGCAAUUUGUUACCAAAU